GGCAUUAUUCACAAUGCUUUGUUGUUGUCUUUUCACAAAAGAAAAAAAAAAAGAAUAUAACAUGGGAAGAUGUGUCUUGAUAUGAUAGAAGAUUGAUGACACUAUUGUGGAAAACUCUGACAUUUCAUCACUAAGGUUGAAUUGAGGAUAGCAAUUAUUGGAGGAAGUCUUGAAUAAGAAGACUUUUACAAGUUUAUGGUUUAACAAUUCACCUUUUUCUAGUGCAAAGACAACAUCAAAUUUUUAACUUAAAGUACUAUGUAUGUUCAGUUAUGCAUGGUUUCUAUAGAUAGAUAGAUAGAUAGAUAGAC
rnacentral:lncRNA from 1 species